rnacentral:ncRNA from 1 species
CAGAGUAGGACGCCUUGCGUAAAGUGCUGCCAAAAUGGGGAGUUGUCUGGCAGACGAAGGGUUUUUCCCGCGAUAAGGUAUCCGCACCCGCUGC